GGGCGUGUAGCUCAGCCGGUAGAGCAGCGGCCUUUUAAGCCGUUGGUCGCAGGUUCGAUUCCUGCCACGCUCACCA
rnacentral:tRNA from 1 species